GUGGGGAAUAUUGGACAAUGGGCGAAAGCCUGAUCCAGCCAUGCCGCGUGUGUGAAGAAGGUCUUCGGAUUGUAAAGCACUUUAAGUUGGGAGGAAGGGCAGUAAGUUAAUACCUUGCUGUUUUGACGUUACCGACAGAAUAAGCACCGGCUAACUUCGUGCCAGCAGCCGCGGUAAUACGAAGGGUGCAAGCGUUAAUCGGAAUUACUGGGCGUAAAGCGCGCGUAGGUGGUUUUGUAAGUUGGAGGUGAAAUCCCCGGGCUCAACCUGGGAACUGCCUCCAAAACUUCAUGACUAGAGUACGGUAGAGGGUAGUGGAAUUUCCUGUGUAGCGGUGAAAUGCGUAGAUAUAGGAAGGAACACCAGUGGCGAAGGCGACUACCUGGACUGAUACUGACACUGAGGUGCGAAAGCGUGGGGAGCAAACAGGAUUAGAAACCCCUGUAGUCC
rnacentral:rRNA from 1 species